GAAAAGUUAAAUUUACUAAACAAAGCGGCAAAACUGUGUGCGUGUGUGGGUGGCUGUGCCUCUGUGUGUAUGUGCGUGAGUCUCUAGUUUUUUGCAAUUUCCACUUCACACGCUCUUUCGUGUUGGAUUAUUGGAUUAUACCGCCAAUAACGGCACACGCAUAGCAACAACAACCAAAAAAAAAAAACAACAAAAAGCGAUAAAGGAGAGCAGACGACGCUGGGAUUAAUCAUUAAUGUCCUGAGAGAUAAAGAACGGGAGUCUAGAGAAAGAAGAAGCAGCGGCAGACAAACAAGAAGAAGACGGCAAAUGUUUUGUACAUGGAAAUAGGGCUGCCUUAGGACCGAAUGUCUGAAAUGUAAGUGCUCGAACAGAUUUUUCCAACCUUAAGGCGUGUGUGAGGAAAUCAAUUUAAAAUUUAUGCGACUUAGAAUCUAGUCUAUUGGAUGUCAAGGUUUUGUUUGUUUUCUAUUUUAUGUGAAAUUCAUCAGUCAUUUUGGUAAAUUAAUUUAUUAUGCUGGAGGAUAAAGGCUUAGACAUGAAACGACCUAACAAUAUUUAAUUAUAAGGCUUAUGGGCUUGACUUUUUGAGUGGUAUUUCAUGGUUAACUUGAGUAAAUGUUUUUGGUUUAGUUAUUAAAUUAAUUUAAUUUAUUAAUAAUUGACAACGAGAAUUAACUUUAAUUUUUCGUAUUUACUUACAAUAGUUUCCUGAAACUUGUUAGCACCAUUGACAAACCGGAUCCUUAUUCUGUUACUUAAAAGGUUUUUUAUUUUUAAACUGAAAGGUAUUCUAUUGAGAUAAAUAAAUCUUCUAUGUCCCCUACUCAACAGUUUCUUCAGUCUUAAGAUUCUGAAAUGCAAUUAAGUUUCUCGCACUACCAAUCAACAUUCAACACUCUCUCCUCGAGAGUAAUAACUCAAAGAUAUUUUAACCCAUUUACCAUGAAUGGCAGUCGUUGGAGCUCGCAUUUAAUUGACUGAUUGCUGUUGAAAUUGCAUGCAUGUGUCAUCUAAAAAAAAAAAUACUGUGAGAACGAUUAAAAAAAAACGUUUUCAUGUUUGCCGCGCUCUAAAUCACAAACACAUAAACCAAAUUUAAUUAAAAUCCACUCAGUACGGCAUCCGGAUUAUGUGCAUGUGUCCUCUUCUCUAUUAUUUCCAUUGAUUUAUUUUGCACACACUCACUGGGUUUUUAUUUUAACAUUUUCAUUAAGAAAAACUACAACUGAAACUCCACUUGCUGGGUGUUCCCAGUCGAAUAAACAUAAUUCCCAUGAUUUAUGGAUUUGGCACAAUGAAUAAACACUGGCAAAGUGCAGACUUUGUGCAAAAGAGAUCGAGAACACACGAGCAUUUAUUUUGUUGGAGCUCCAAUGUUGAUAUAUUAGCCAACAACAACUAUGUAUACAUGUUUAUUAUUAGCCAAAGGCUGGCCUCUAGAGCAAACUAUAAGAUCAGGGGAACCUGCGACCAGGGACCGGCCUGCAAUCAUAAUAAAUGUUCAUUGAAACCUUUUAAAAAUCGCGCUGCCACAGCCGCCGCGCCUCAAUGAAGCACAGCAACAAUAAAUUUAAGCCACGAAGCCGGGCUCUCUAUACCAGCACAUAAACAUUAAUAAACUUGUUGCAAUCCAAAAGAUAAUUAGCCGUGGCUAGAGCAGCAGCAACACCAGCAAACACCGAACAACAACGAACAACAACGAACAACUUACGGCCACCGCCACACACAUCACAUAAAGCCAAAAGACAAGAGCAGCAACAAUUUGCUAUUUAGUAUAAAGUUUCAUUAAAAACCCACUACGACUGACUGCACGGCCCAUCAUGCAGUUGUGUAUCUUAAAGAUACACAAUGGACACAAAAGAGGGUCCGCUUCGCAUCGUAUCGCAGUGCAGUGCAUCGCAUCGCAUCGCAUCGCAUCGCCUGCCUGCUGUCGAUCAUAAUUUAACAUAAAAAUGAUUUGAUUACUAUAAUUUCUUUUGUGUUUUGGUAUCACCUGGUAAGCUCAUUUACUACAACGGCAACGCCGCCUAUUACUCACACCGGUCCGGUCGGCAGAACCCCGGCUCCGGUCCGGUCCGGUCCGGUCUUGGGUCCUCGGCUUGGAGUUUUCGGUCUCAGUAUCGCACCGCGGACCUCACCGCAUGCAGCGUGUGUCGUUUUGUGUAUGGCCGAGAAGAACCAGAAAAAUUAAAAAAAAAAAACGAAGCCAAAGAUGAGCACAUCUCGGGGAGAAAAGGGAAAAGAGGCCCAAAAUGAAACUGCGGGAAGGCAGCACCCAGAGUUCCAUCAUCACACUGACAAAAAAAAUGGUGUCUGUAUUUAAAACAUAUAACAAAAAAAAAACGAAUUCAAAAAUAUACCCUUCUGCUGAGAAAAAAAAAUACCCUUAAAGCCAUAGCUAAAUUUCUAAAACGUUUUCGUAUACUUAGGUAUCUGAUAGCAUACUUACAUCUAUUUUAAUUAAAAUAGGGAAAUGUUCGAAACCUAUUUUGGAACAUUGCUAUUUAUAUGAUUUAAAGUUUAAUAAUUUUAAAAAGAGUUUAGAGUUUAUUUUGGAAACUAAAGGUUCUCGAUAUCAAAAUAAUCGUUGUUAUAGAAAAACGUGAAAUAGAACAAAUCAGAGAAGCAAAGGAAAAAAGUGUUAGCCAGAAAACUAAUUAGGAUUAAGCAUUUUUCUAAAGAAAAAAAUUAAAUAAUUUGUAGAUCUUUCGUUGCUUUCGCUCAGUGCAAUCACGAAAACUUGCCGGCCAGCGAGAAGUCAAAGUCAAACUGACAAACCCGUUCCGCUGUCUUGCAACAGCCUUCUGCCUGAGUCUCAGUCUCAGUCUCAGUCGCAACCAAAGUCAGAGUCCCAGUGUCAGUUCGAGAUGAAGAAGAAGUCCAAGUCGAAGUCGAAGACGAAGACUUGCAGGCAAUAAUAGCAUCGACUUAAGAGCCACGGAGAAGUAUACUUCAUCGGGUACUGGUACAAAUAUCUUGUUUCAUGUGUGCGCUGGACGUUAAUAGCAGGCCGUACCAUUGUCCAAAAGCCAGUCAAUGUUCCCCCUUUUGCUCCGCUCCUGCCUUUUCUUUAUAUAUAUUUUUCGUUAUUUUUUUUUUUUUUUUGGUUUCCAUUUACCUGUCCCUAACCUGUGCCACCCGGCCGCCUCCCCAUUGUGUGUUGUGUGUACCGCUUGCAUCUUCGGUGAGCGCCGCUUCUUGGCAGCCUUCGCUGCAUUUCAUCAUUCAUGCACAUUAUUUUAGCCAUGGCCAGGCUUUAGGUUAUAUCUGGUAUUCGAUAAGUUGAGUGUAGAUACGCUUUUAGAUAGAGUUUUUAGAACUAGAUUUUUUUGAUAAAAGUAACUGAGUGCUAAAUGCUAUUUGAAUGCAAUGAGUACUGGAGGAUAUUAAUAUAUUCACUGAAAUGCAUGAAACAUGGUAAUUAAUUAAAGUUAUUUUUCAAAGAUCAGCGCAAAAUAAAUCUUUAGUAUUAAUAUAUACUAAAAUCAAGUAAAUAAAAGUAAAAAGAGGAACAAGAUGUUUUACAAGGAUUCCAAUUUUUCCUAUUUAUUUAAUUUCAAAUUUUGUAUUGCCAACUAAUUUUUUAGUUGUCUUACGAUUUACUAGAACAUCUACUAUUCGUUUUAAAAAAUAAAUUCAGCAUCUUGUUUUUUUUUGUGCACUUUAGCGUUUUGUGUGCUCCUUACAUCGUGUCCUGUCCCGCUUGCGUAUCGCAUUGGCCGAGGCUUAGAAGUGGAGAUUGAGUUACAUUGCUGGGGAUUAUUAUCAACUGUAUUAUCUGGCUUUUCUUCUCCUGUGUUUUGCUUCGUUUUAUUUUUUUUUUAGUCCAAGGCGGCAACUGCUUUUCGGCCAGAAAAAAGUCAAAUAAAAAUUCGUUACGCCGCUGCAGCGUUUACUCAACUGCAGAGUAAGAUUCGUGGGUUUUGGUUUCGGGUUUUUCUGUUUUUAGGGUUUGCGCUUUUUUUUUUUUUAAUGAUACCCUCUCGAGUAUUUUCUGUUCGUCUUCCGUAGUCUGUUUUGUUGAAUUUUGUGUGUGUGUUUGAUGGCCGGUUCAAGUGCCUUUUUGGUGCUGUUGUAAUUUGUGGCUUUUUUUAGGGAGGCGACGGACAUGCAUGUUUCAUAAGUUUUGGGGCAACAAUUGUGUAAAAUUAUGAGCUGUCCGGAUUUGCCAUUUGGCAUGGUUCCAGGGCAUCAGCAGAAGCAGCUAGCCAACAAAUUCGAGUCGGUCUUUUGUUUCAUUUUGUGGCCAUAAAACAAACUGGAGUAGGUGUUGUCGUUAAGUUUUGAUGUGCCACAUUAAACUAGACUCCCCGAGCAGAUUGAGCUUAAGCUGGGCCACCCCAUGGUGCAGUUUAUGUUUGCAGAUGAAUGAAGCUACUAAAAAAGCGAGGAAGCCCACUGUGCCCUAAUGGGAAAUCAGAUUUAGCCUAUUGGCAUAAAACUCUCUAAAUGUAUAUAGAUAUAAACUCUAUUGCCGCCUUGGCAGUCGGUCUUGUUUUUAUUGAUUUUUGUUUUCGCAUAAAAUUGAGACACGACACUUCCACACAGAGAAAACGUUAAAAAACCCCUGGGUAUUCGUUAGCCCAUAGAUCUCGUUGGAAUUGAAAUUGAAUAAAAGUGAAGGCCGUUCGGGAGUUGAACUUUGAGGAAAUUAAAUCACUUCGUGAUGGUAUUUAUUUACGUGGGGGAAGUCUAUGAACGUAACUGUCCAUCUGAUAUGCAAUUUAAAUUAAAGGAAUUUGGUGUACUAAAAGAAAUGCCUUGGCUGAGCCAUAAAACCAAACAAAUUAGAUUAGUUUUUUGCUUAAAAAAAUUGAAAAAACGGUUUAAAAUAACAGACGGCUCUUAAUUAAUUAAAUUAAUUAGCUUAAUCUCCUAUGCUGUCAAGGUUUUAUGAUUUCUUUAACUAGUUGAUUAAACAGGACUUUUACAGUCUAAAAUAUAACUUGAAAUUUAUAAACAAACUAUUGCUAUAGAAUUAUAAUUUCUAACAAAGCACAAAAAUUGAAAAGUAGCUAAAGUUUUUCCUUCUUAGUCUUUGAAAACUUUUUUAUUGCUUUUUUAUACAAUAGGCCACCAUAUCGACCCACAGUCCACCCCUAACUAGGUCACAUUACAGUUGGCAAAUGGCUGCGGUAAAGUUUUAAAUCAUAUUUAAAGAAUACGGCAAUAGAUUCGGGCCCAACUGUUCGUAUGGCAACCGCGAAGACAUAUAACACACGAGGCACUAUGUAGAAAUAACCGCAGGGAAAGCUUUCGGGCACAAAUAUUGCACCACACUAUUGGUGGUGGUGGUGGUGGUGCUGCUGCUGCUGUGGCUCGAGAUGGAAGCCAAAGCGGCAAAUGUUCCAGGAAACUAUAAAAGACAAUAGCGGCAAUAUGCCAGCUCUGGUUUUUGUGGUUUUUUAUGCUCGGACUCUAGGAUGAAGAAGCCUUUCUAGCUCUUGGCGUGGGCCUAAGUCAACAACAAAGAAGCGAAGCCUCAAUGCCCUGGACGGCGCCUUUUGUUAUAUAUAUAUACAUAUAUAUAUAUAUGUAUGUAUAGGAAAACCCUCCAAAGAGCUUGAUGGCUUGGGGUGGAGGAAUGGUGCUUGGUAGCCAAGUUGUGUAUGCUCACGCAUUAAUAUAGUUCCAAGCUAAAGUACACAGGGGAAAAGGGGUACACAGUAAAGAAAUUCUGCAGUAAAAAAUACAUAUUAUAAAAUAUUGUGAGCUUUACAAGAUAAAUUAACUACAAUUUGAUCAUGAUAAAUGAAAAUUUUAUCAUCAGUCUAAAAUGCUAAACAGCACACACAAAUUACUUAAAUUAAAUGUAAAUCUAAAGCAAAAUUUAAUACAAAUCACUUUAACAAUUUUUAUUUUUGAACACAGUAACAUUGUACUAAAAUCUAUUUUGUAUUUUCAAUCGCUCAAACAUGAAUAAACCGUAUUCAACCUGGUUAAAUUUUUAGCUUAUCAUUUUAGAUUGAUCAACCUUUGUUUUUUAAAUUAAAUCAUUAUAAUUCAACAUUUUUAUUUUUAAAUAUUUUUCUACAUUUUAUAAUAUUCAAUUUAUAAUAUAUUCUACAUACGAUAUUUUUCUAUAAUUAAUAUUUUUCUCUCUGCACAUAAAGAUAUAGAUGUGUGUGAAACUAGUUUAUGACAGGGCCGAGUUGGUGUGGGGUGGCAAAUAAUGUUGUUUAUGUGUAGGACCGAACCGUAAAUAUGACGCAUCGUGGAGAAGAAGGGGUAACCUGUAACCUGGGCCAGCUGAAACUUGGCUGCCUGCAAGUGGACUGGUCAAGUGUAAAGUACGCAACUGCUCCUAUUCCUAUUCCUAUUCCCAAUGCCAAUCCCAUUCGUAUUCGCAUUCACAUUGCCAAUGUGCUAGUGCCAUUUCCCAUUGUGGUGUCGUCUGCAGAAUCGCAAGACGACUGCUGGUCAAGUGUUGCAGUUGCUUCCUGCCUUUCGGUCUGACACUAACCUGGCCUCCAGCUUUUGCUAUGCUCUGCUCUGCUCUGCUUCAGCUUCUGGCAUUCAAUGGCCAAUUCUCCACGCAACCAUCCUUGUUCUUGGGCUUGUAUUUAUAUUUUCUUGGCAUUGGCCUCUUCCCAUGACACCGGUUAGCCGCAUCUUCAGCUGCUCUGUGCUUAUUUGGUUACUUUAUGCCAUUACCUGUAUUCCUCCAUAGACUACUACUCCUCUACUUCCUCUCUGUCGCGCUCUGAUAAUAAAGAUGACAAAAUAUCUGGAGAAAAUCAUAAACCUUGUGUGUAUGUUUGGAAAAAUAAUAUCUUGCAGAUAUAAAGUACCAUUUAUGUCGUGCUUAUAUCUUAUUUCGCCAAAGUCGUGCCAUCGCAAGAGUCGCGAAUACCGAGUCGGUUUUCGCAGUCCAAGUCAAGAGACAGGGAGUCCCAGUCGACGAUGGAGUCCAUGCGGCAUUUCGGUUCGGUUGGGUUUGGUUUGCUUGCGACUUUGGAGGACUGCUGCUGCGUUGGGAUAUUGCUCUGUAGGCAGCGAACGAGCAGCACGGUUGCGUGGGCUACAGUGGUCAUAAUGUGGUUAUUAUGCUAUAAAAAUUAUAUUUUAUGUGAUUAUGUUUUGGAUUUAAUAAUAAUAAUAACUUCAUUUUUUAAAAAAAGUCUUCUUUUAGGAACGGUGUUGAUAAAAGUAAUGCAAAUUUUGAUUUUUUUAAAUAGAUACUUUUGUAAUCAGGUCUCGUCAGCGUUUUAGUUAAAAAUCAUAAUUUUUUUUUUUUUCCUGUUUAAAUUCAACAGACUAAAAUCUAUUAAAGAAGUAUGUGUAAUCAAAUUUUCUUUACUGAUAAAAUUACUAAAUUUAUAAGAGAUUAUAUUAAUAAAGUUUUUGUAUUUCAUUUUCGCUUUAUUUUUUUGUUUGAUUUAAAUAUAUUCAUGAGGACAAUUUUCCUGGUCAAUAUUUGUGAAUUUAAUUUUGACUAUUUGCUUUUUCAUGUGUGGUUUUCACCACCGAGCGUGGAAUUGGUUGGAGCUCUGCGGCACUUCUUCACAUGACGGCGACAGGCAAUUGGCCCAUUGCAGCGCCAGCGACGCCAAAGCCAUGGCCACGUUGUCAUCUUGGUCAAGGAGUCGAGAAGGAGGAUGGAAGUUGGGUCUAUUGGCAAUCUUUGUGCCGGGCCAAGUAUCUUCUCUUUUCUCCUUUUCUGUCCAGCUCAGUUCGGUUAUAUUCCGUUCAGUUCUGGUCUGGCCGACUUGUAUAUAUGCUUUCAUUACGAGCUUAGUUCACGUCACAAUCAGUUGUUGGCAUCGUUUAUGCCGCAUUGCCACACUAACACAGACACAACCUACAAGUGUGGUCAGAAUAAUAGGGCUUUGAGUUUAAAACCUUUGUUUUAGCUGUGUAUGAAUUGAUUUUUAAUAUUUAACCGCUUUUUUGGUAAGAUUGAGAUAUCUUUACAGAGGGAUAAAUAAUUAUUUUGAGAGACUGUAUAAAUAUUUUUUAGGAGAAAAAAAAAGGAUACUUACGUUUACAGUUGGCCCUCUAAUAUAUAUAAGAAAACAAAAAAGGGUUACCAUCUUAAAUGGUUGUUCGUUUGAAAUAAGUUUAUAUUUCGAUUUUUUUUUUAAUGCUUUUUAAUUAAAGACAAACACUUAUUUUUAAUACAAAAAUACACUUUGUAUUAUUUUCUAGGGACCCGUUAAUGUUACUAUACGUUACUAUACAAAGUUCAAAAUAAAUAGUAUUUUGUAAGAGGCAUCUCUACUGCUAUUAUUUUGACCUCUUCCGUACUCAUAGUAACUAGUUGGCUGCUGUGGCAACUUCUUCAGCAAAAUGUCUUUCAACUUAUCGCACUCACACACACACAUAUUGUAUACUAUAUGUAUCCUGUGGAAACAUGUGAGGAGGCUCGCUGGCAAUUUGCAUGCAACCCAGGAGAACCCCUCCGCCAGGAGAACCCCUCCGCCCCUGCAUGUAAUUUAUGCGUUUAGAUAACACUUUGCUAAUUUUGAAUGGCAUAAAUUUUUUUUACAUUAGAAGGAGAAGACGGAGUGGCCCAGUCCUUGUGAUCGUGCCUGUAAUUGUGUGUGCGUGUCAGUUACUUAUUUUUUCCAUACUCCUUUUUUUUGCU